CCAAUGGGGAAACACUGACGAAAGAGAAAGUAGAAGAAUGUUCCUCUCAAAAAGUCGUCCACUAGUAAUUGGCAUGAUCCAUGUGCCUGCCUUACCAGGUACACCUAAGAAUAGAAAGAAAAUUGCUGAAAUUUGUGAAAUAGUACAAAAAGAAGCUUUGAUUUACCAUAAUGCAGGAGUGGAUUCUAUAUUGGUGGAAAACAUGCAUGACCUUCCAUAUGUUCAAGGCAAAGAUAUCGGACCAGAGAUUGUCUCCUGUAUGACCAGAGUGUGUUCUGUAGCUAAACACACAUUCCAGAAAGGGAGCAGAAACCAAUAUGCAGAAAUAGUGGAAUCUCUGAGGGUUUUGUUUAGAGCACUCCCAUAUGAUAUACAAGAACGGGCAGAAAACAUUGAUUACAGUAAUUUUUACGAGGACAACAAAGAAUGUGUAUUGGCACAAUUUCCUGAUUUUAAUGAAGUAGGAAAGGGAUUCUCCAAAUCACAUGCUAAAAUAGAUGGACUUCUCAAUAUCUGUGCUAACCUUGUUGAUCAAGGCAUAUUGGACCAGGAUGUGGCAUUGGAGGAGUUUAGCAUGAGAAAAGGGUCGGACAUAUGGGUCUCUGAGAGGAAUGUGCUCAAUAAAUUCCAUAACUAUUGUCAAAUGAGAAACGUGUCCCUCAAGGUGGACGCAGUAUGGGAUGAUCAACAGGAAUUGUUUAAAGGGUUAGUGUUUGUGGAUGGUAAACUAAUGAGUGAAGCCUACGGGUGUUCAAAGAAAACUGCCAAGAUGAAGAGCUGUCUGAAAGCCCUUCAAACGGAAGAUUAUGUUGGGAUUCAGAUUUUGGCAGGUGCCAAUAAACAAGCACUGGCAGUAGCUCAGGCUGCAGAGUUAGACUUUGUAAGAGCAGAGGGCUUUGUGUACUCGCAUGUCGCAGAUGAAGGCUGGAUGGAUGCCUGUGCAGGUGGCCUGCUUCGCUUCAGAAAACAAAUUGGUGCAGAGGACAUCAACAUUUUUACAGACAUAAAAAAGAAACAUAGUGCCCAUGCAGUUACUGCUGAUGUCAGCAUUAUAGAAACAGCCAAGGCAGCAGAAUUGUUUGGGAGUGAUGGAGUUAUUGUGACAGGGACAGCCACGGGGGUAGAGACUAAUGCUACAGAAGUCCAAGAUGUGAUAAGGAACGUCUCUGUUCCAGUCCUGAUUGGUUCCGGUGUGACAGCAGCCAAUGUCAGUAACUACCAAAACGUGGGUGGCCUCAUCGUGGGGUCUCACUUCAAGAUACGCCAGCAGUGGUUUAAUGCAAUAAACAUUCCUAGGUUACUUAAGUUUGUACUUCAUGCAAGUCCUGAGAGUUACGACUAUGACAAAGUGUUUGAAACUUACAGUGAGCCAAUAGAAGCUGACUUCUCCGAUUGUGAAAGUGAUAGUGAUUUAGAUAUUGAUUAACUUGAAAAUGCCUUUAAAAUCAUCUAUCAAGUUUUGCCAAUUUUGAACAGGCCGCAGAUAAGCAAACAUAUGAGCACACAGCUGCAGAUCUCUCUGGAGUAAAAACUGGUACAGAACAGACAGAUCACACACUGGUCUGUCCCAAAUUUUCCCCAGAGAGCUACAGAUCUGCAGUCCAUGAACACACAGACGGAUGGACAGACACUACUAGUACUCCAAAAGACAGAAUUCUCAAAAUCAAUUUAAGUGGUUUUCAGAUUGUGAAUACAAAGAUUGAUUUCCAAUAUUCAAUUACAAACUUGAUGGCAUCCAAGUGCAGAUUCAUUUUAAAAACUGGGAAUUUCCAUAAGAAGAUGAUACAUCCGUCUGUAGUUCCAGACUGCUUGUAUUUCAUUGUGUAAUUUUUGUAGACAAAUUGUUUUGAGAGAAAUGUAUUUUUAGAAACAUAACAUUUCUUGUCAUGACUACCCCUCAAAAAAGUAUUAGUGCCGAGAAAUUAAAGCACUCUUACAUGUAA